AAUAGUUUAAAUUUUAUGAGAAAUAUAGACAAAAUUUUAGUAUCGUUCGUUAGCGAAUUUUCACGGUUUUUUCAAUACUAAAUUGAAAAAAAGUGAUACUUCUAAGCCGAAUUUCGAACAUCGGUCAAUUCCAAACGAAAGAGCAUACUUUUUUCUAUAUAAUGGCAUAUUCUUUAGAGAUUUUUUCUAAAUAUUUAAAAUUUUAUGAGGAAUAUAGUCAAAAUUUUAGUAUCGUUCGUUAUCGAAUUUUCACGGUUUUUUCAAUACUAAAUUGAAAAAAGUGAUACUUCUAAGCCGAAUUUCGAACAUCGGUCUAUUCCAAACGAAAGAGCAUACUUUUUUCUAUAUAAUGGCAUAUUCUUUAGAGAUUUUUUCUAAA